rnacentral:rRNA from 1 species
GACGAACGCUGGCGGCGUGCUUAACACAUGCAAGUCGAACGGUGAAGCGCCUUCCUUUUUGGUGAGUGUGGAUGAGUGGCGAACGGGUGAGUAACACGUGAGUAACCUGCCCCCUUCUUCUGGAUAACCGCAUGAAAGUGUGGCUAAUACGGGAUAUUCUGGGUCUGUCGCAUGAUGGGUCUGGGAAAGAUAUUGUUUCGGUGGGGGAUGGGCUCGCGGCCUAUCAGCUUGUUGGUGGGGUGAUGGCCUACCAAGGCGGUGACGGGUAGCCGGCCUGAGAGGGUGGACGGUCACACUGGGACUGAGACACGGCCCAGACUCCGACGGGAGGCAGCAGUGGGGAAUAUGGCACAAUGGGCGCAAGCCUGAUGCAGCGACGCCGCGUGAGGGAUGGAGGCCUUCGGGUUGUGAACCUCUUUCGCCAGUGAAGCAGGCCUGCCUCGUUUGUGGGUGGGUUGACGGUAGCUGGAUAAGAAGCGCCGGCUAACUACGUG